rnacentral:rRNA from 1 species
UGAGGAAUAUUGCGCAAUGGGGGCAACCCUGACGCAGCAACGCCGCGUGAGUGAGGAAGGUUUUCGGACCGUAAAGCUCUGUCGAGCGGGAAGAAAUGCAUAGUGGCUAAUAUCUACUAUGCUUGACGGUACCGCUAAAGGAAGCACCGGCUAACUCCGUGACAGCAGACGCGGUAAUACGGGGGGUGCUAGCGUUGUUCGGAAUCAUUGGGCGUAAAGAGCGUGUAGGCGGCUGGAUAAGGCAGAUGUGAAAGCCCUGGGCUUAACCUAGGAAGUGCAUUUGAAACUGUUCAGCUUGAGUAAGGGAGAGGAAAGUGGAAUUCCUGGUGUAGAGGUGAAAUUCGUAGAUAUCAGGAGGAACACCGGUGGCGAAGGCGACUUUCUGGCCCUAUACUGACGCUGAGACGCGAGAGCGUGGGUAGCAAACA